UGCUUUUCCUUAGGCCAUUCAGAAUACUUGUGGGUAAGAUGUGCAAAUCCCUUCCAGCAGAGUGCAUUGCAGCUUGAGGAAGAAUAUAUUCACCUAAAAAGGAGAGUGGAGGCUCAAAUAAGUCAUCUCAAAGCAACAACAUCCUUAGAAUAAUUAAGACAAUUUCUAAGUAUUUAAUUUAGGUGUUUAACUUGAGUUCUAGACAGUUUACCAAAAAUGUCAUGCAUUAAAUUCCAUUUUCUCAUCAAGUCAUUGAAGGGCUUAAGGUUUUUAUCAUGGAAAUUAUACAUACCAUCUUUUUCUGUCAUUCAUUUUUUAAUAUCUGAGAUAACACUGAGAAGCAAGAGGGACAUAGUGUGAAAUUUUCAUUUUUCAUGCCACAUACCAAGUAUUACUUCAGCCAUUCUACAACGAUAUAGGUGAAGGAAGACCAAAGUCGCUUAAUAAUUUGAACAACAUCUGGGGCCGAAACAGUAAAGGUGGAAUCUGAAGAGGAGGAAGCACAAAAGAAGGACCUGGAUAAGACCCAGGACGACUUAUUGAAACACCAGGCUAGCAUUAGUGAGCUCAAGCGCAAUUUCAUGGAAUCCACACCCGAACCACGCCCCAAUGAGUGGGAAAAGCGGCGUAUCACACCUCUGUCCCUACAGACACAAGGGAGCCUAGAAGAAGAGAUAGCGUCCAUUUUAUUUAGCCAAGAGCGCUUUGGCGCCGGCCCGGACCGGCCCUUCGCCG
ensembl:lncRNA